rnacentral:rRNA from 1 species
UAACGGCGAGUGAAGCGGCAAGAGCUCAAAUUUGAAAUCGGUAUUUUAUAUCGAGUUGUAGUUUGAAGGGAGGACUCUGUGGAGUGGUGAGCAGCGAUGUUCCUUGGAAGAGGACGUGACACAAGGUGAUAAUCCUGUAGCUGUGAUCCGUGACACGUAUAGAGACCCCCCGAAGAGUCGAGUUGUUUGGGAAUGCAGCUCUAAGUGGGUGGUAAACUCCAUCUAAAGCUAAAUACUAGCGAGAGACCGAUAGCGAACAAGUACAGUGAUGGAAAGAUGAAAAGAACUUUGAAAAGAGAGUGAAAGAGUGCGUGAAAUUGUUGAAAGGGAAGGAUAUUAGGUGAGGCGGGGACGUGGGUUCUGUAAUGUUUCUUGUAAGUAUUAUUAUGCCCACGUCCAGGCCGGUGUGGGUGGGGAGCGGGCGAUGAAAGCUAUUCUUUGAACCUAGUUCUAGGAAUGGUCAACAGCCCUCCCCCCACCAUGGACAGACGACACCGACACAAUGACCUAACAUCGCGCCGACUUGAAACAC